GUAGGUGGCAAGCGUUGUCCGGAAUUAUUGGGGCGUAAAGCGCGCGCAGGCGGUUCUUUAAGUCUGAUGUGAAAGCCCACGGGCUCAACCGUGGAGGGUCAUUGGAAACUGGAGAACUUGAGUACAGAAGAGGAAAGCGGAAUUCCACGUGUAGCGGUGAAAUGCGUAGAGAUGUGGAGGAACACCAGUGGCGAAGGCGGCUUUCUGGUCUGUAACUGACGCUGAGGCGCGAAAGCGUGGGGAGCAAACAGGAUUAGAUACCCUGGUAGUCCACGCCGUAAACGAUGAGUGCUAAGUGUUAGGGGGUUUCCGCCCCUUAGUGCUGCAGCUAACGCAUUAAGCACUCCGCCUGGGGAGUACGGCCGCAAAGACUG
rnacentral:rRNA from 1 species